rnacentral:rRNA from 1 species
ACGCUGGCGGCAGGCCUAACACAUGCAAGUCGAGCGGUAGAGAGAAGCUUGCUUCUCUUGAGAGCGGCGGACGGGUGAGUAAUGCCUAGGAAUCUGCCUGGUAGUGGGGGAUAACGUUCGGAAACGGACGCUAAUACCGCAUACGUCCUACGGGAGAAAGCAGGGGACCUUCGGGCCUUGCGCUAUCAGAUGAGCCUAGGUCGGAUUAGCUAGUUGGUGGGGUAAUGGCUCACCAAGGCGACGAUCCGUAACUGGUCUGAGAGGAUGAUCAGUCACACUGGAACUGAGACACGGUCCAGACUCCUACGGGAGGCAGCAGUGGGGAAUAUUGGACAAUGGGCGAAAGCCUGAUCCAGCCAUGCCGCGUGUGUGAAGAAGGUCUUCGGAUUGUAAAGCACUUUAAGUUGGGAGGAAGGGUUGUAGAUUAAUACUCUGCAAUUUUGACGUUACCGACAGAAUAAGCACCGGCUAACUCUGUGCCAGCAGCCGCGGUAAUACAGAGGGUGCAAGCGUUAAUCGGAAUUACUGGGCGUAAAGCGCGCGUAGGUGGUUUGUUAAGUUGGAUGUGAAAUCCCCGGGCUCAACCUGGGAACUGCAUUCAAAACUGACUGACUAGAGUAUGGUAGAGGGUGGUGGAAUUUCCUGUGUAGCGGUGAAAUGCGUAGAUAUAGGAAGGAACACCAGUGGCGAAGGCGACCACCUGGACUAAUACUGACACUGAGGUGCGAAAGCGUGGGGAGCAAAC